UAGCGUAGGGGGCGAGCGUUGCCCGGAUUCAUUGGGCGUAAAGGGCGCGUAGGCGGUCACGGUGCGUCCCGCGUGAAAUCUCCCGGCGUCACCUGGGAGGGGUCGCGGGAAACGACCGGGACUGGGAGCACGGUAGGGGGCCCAUGGGAAUUCCCGGUGUAGUGGUGGAAUGCGUAGAGAGUCGGGAGGAACACCCGUGGCGAAGGCGGUGGCCUGGACCGAUGCUGACGCUGAGGCGCGAAAGCGUGGGGAGCAAACAGG
rnacentral:rRNA from 1 species